rnacentral:rRNA from 1 species
UACACACCGCCCGUCACGCUAUGGAAGCCGGUAACACCUGAAGUCGCUGGGCUAACCCGCAAGGGAGGGCAGGCGCCGAGGGUGGGACUGGUAACUGGAGCG